rnacentral:misc_RNA from 1 species
UGGCUCUGGCAUCGAUGAAGAACGCAGCGAAAUGCGAUACGUAAUGUGAAUUGCAGAACCCAGCGAACCAUCGAAUCUUUGAACGCACAUUGCGCCCGCCGGCAUUCCGGCGGGCAUGCCCGUCCGAGCGUCAUGUCAACCCUCGCGUCCGCGCGGUGAUGGGGAUCCACGGUCACACGUGGGCCCUGAAAAACAGUGGCGGCCCCACAGGAUCUGCAGCGCAGUACAUACCCUCGCUGUCCGGUCCCUCGGGUGCCCUGCCGUGAAACCCCCAAACUCCUUCAAGUUGACCUCGGAUCGGGUAGGAAUACCCGCUGA